UCCCUGAUGGCUCAGAGGUUAAAGUGUCUGCCUGCAAUGCAGUAGACAUAGGUUCGAUUCCUGGGUUGGGAA
rnacentral:tRNA from 1 species